AGAGUUUGAUCAUGGCUCAGAUUGAACGCUGGCGGCAGGCCUAACACAUGCAAGUCGAACGGUAACAGGAAGCAGCUUGCUGCUUCGCUGACGAGUGGCGGACGGGUGAGUAAUGUCUGGGAAACUGCCUGAUGGAGGGGGAUAACUACUGGAAACGGUGGCUAAUACCGCAUAACGUCGCAAGACCAAAGAGGGGGACCUUCGGGCCUCUUGCCAUCAGAUGUGCCCAGAUGGGAUUAGCUUGUUGGUGAGGUAACGGCUCACCAAGGCGACGAUCCCUAGCUGGUCUGAGAGGAUGACCAGCCACACUGGAACUGAGACACGGUCCAGACUCCUACGGGAGGCAGCAGUGGGGAAUAUUGCACAAUGGGCGCAAGCCUGAUGCAGCCAUGCCGCGUGUAUGAAGAAGGCCUUCGGGUUGUAAAGUACUUUCAGCGGGGAGGAAGGUGUUGUGGUUAAUAACCACAGCAAUUGACGUUACCCACAGAAGAAGCACCGGCUAACUCCGUGCCAGCAGCCGCGGUAAUACGGAGGGUGCAAGCGUUAAUCGGAAUUACUGGGCGUAAAGCGCACGCAGGCGGUCUGUCAAGUCGGAUGUGAAAUCCCCGGGCUCAACCUGGGAACUGCAUUCGAAACUGGCAGGCUUGAGUCUUGUAGAGGGGGGUAGAAUUCCAGGUGUAGCGGUGAAAUGCGUAGAGAUCUGGAGGAAUACCGGUGGCGAAGGCGGCCCCCUGGACAAAGACUGACGCUCAGGUGCGAAAGCGUGGGGAGCAAACAGGAUUAGAUACCCUGGUAGUCCACGCCGUAAACGAUGUCUACUUGGAGGUUGUGCCCUUGAGGCGUGGCUUCCGGAGCUAACGCGUUAAGUAGACCGCCUGGGGAGUACGGCCGCAAGGUUAAAACUCAAAUGAAUUGACGGGGGCCCGCACAAGCGGUGGAGCAUGUGGUUUAAUUCGAUGCAACGCGAAGAACCUUACCUGGUCUUGACAUCCACGGAAGUUUUCAGAGAUGAGAAUGUGCCUUCGGGAACCGUGAGACAGGUGCUGCAUGGCUGUCGUCAGCUCGUGUUGUGAAAUGUUGGGUUAAGUCCCGCAACGAGCGCAACCCUUAUCCUUUGUUGCCAGCGGUUAGGCCGGGAACUCAAAGGAGACUGCCAGUGAUAAACUGGAGGAAGGUGGGGAUGACGUCAAGUCAUCAUGGCCCUUACGACCAGGGCUACACACGUGCUACAAUGGCGCAUACAAAGAGAAGCGACCUCGCGAGAGCAAGCGGACCUCAUAAAGUGCGUCGUAGUCCGGAUUGGAGUCUGCAACUCGACUCCAUGAAGUCGGAAUCGCUAGUAAUCGUGGAUCAGAAUGCCACGGUGAAUACGUUCCCGGGCCUUGUACACACCGCCCGUCACACCAUGGGAGUGGGUUGCAAAAGAAGUAGGUAGCUUAACCUUCGGGAGGGCGCUUACCACUUUGUGAUUCAUGACUGGGGGUGAAGUCGUAACAAGGUAACCGUAGGGGAACCUGCGGUUGGAUCACCU
rnacentral:rRNA from 1 species